UUAUAACAAGAUUAGCUAGAUACUCAUUCCUCUCAUUAAUUUUCCCAAGUAAAUUUCAAAUUUCCGGUAGCUUAGUGUCCAAAACCAUGCUAACAUUUCCCAGUUUCAAGCCAUGUCUACUCAAGAUAAUAACAACAAUGAGAUGCAUGACUACAACAAGGAGGCCACCACCAAGGCCACCCAUAAAAACUAAACCACCACAAAACAAUAAUUUCAAAGACAAGAAAGAGAAUGUGAUGAUAGAGGAGAAGAGUAACAUAAAGCUCCAAGAAGAUAAUUCCAUGGUCAAAGCAAAUUGAUCUCAUCUCUAGGAAUCUAUUUUGUUAGAGAUCGUAAUAAGUUAUUUGUACUUGGUCUAAAGUUGGUCAAAGUACAAAAUGCAUCUAUGAUAUUUUAUUUUGUGGUAGUAGUUUGCAAGGUAAAAUUUACAAAUAGGCACUUUUCAGCUCCGUAAUUUGAAAAUAACCAAUUUCUGUUUUACGAUAUUGGUUAUUUUUCAAAAAUAGAGUCCAAAAGUGACAUGUGAAGCGCUAUUUCUACCGUCCUUGGAUUAUCCUAAUAGGGAUCAUUUGUUUCGUUUAUAUUAUGCAUGGAAUUGUAAUAGAUAUAUAUGAGUUGUAAUGUAAUGUAUGCUAGCAAUCUGUGUUAAAAAUCAA